CAUUUUCCCUUUUUCACUUUUUCUUUCUUUCUUUCUCUCUAUUCUCUCGGCAGUCCCUCGCUCAUCUUCUCCUCUAAAAAAACUCUCUUUUCUCUUCGAUGUCAACACUUUAGAGCGUGAUUCCGGAUGAAAUUUAAGAAUUAAAGUUGCUAUUCGGAGCAUGGGCUUUCCGAAUAUCCAAGAAAAAUCAUGAUCGGACCUUGUGGGAGCUCGGUUGACUUGGUCAAAGGGUCGGGUUUUGCUCAAAACCCAUGAGGCAUGAUUCAAGGAUGUUGGCAUGGAGUGCUUGUUGUGCAUUUGUGACCAAACCUUUAAAAGGUAUUCAAGAAGGAUUCAUAGCACAAGAUCCGAAAGAGCAUUUUUAGGAAAGAUAUUAUUUGUAAAAUGUAAUAAUAUUUCCGUAUGAUACUGGUAUUUUGAUGACUUGUGGCCUUCGAGUUGGAAAUGUAAUAUUUGAAUUUUAUUUGAGAACAGUGAACAAAAAGGUCUUUUGGGGUAUUAUUUAUAUUACAGCGAAGACUUUAUUUAUUAAAAGUGUUUAUUAUUUAUGUUGAAAAUCGAGAGCGUGACAAAAUAUGGUAUGCAUUUGUCUUUGAUCCAAUACAGUGAGACAAAUAUCAUAGAAUACAUUUGAUCACUUAUAAUUACUGUUCCUACACAAGUUUUCAAUUGGGUGAUCAAGAAGGUUUUUACCUUUCAUGUGUUUGGUGAGCCACAUAAAUAAAUUCUAACACAUUUUUGUUUGGAUCCUUGAUUUGCUACAAACUCAUGUUUUGAGAUUUUAGUUUGUAGAUAUAUAUACUAAAUAUUUGACUAUAUGUGUAUGCCACUUCAACGAAAUGGGGAUUUAGGGGCAAUUUUGAAAGGGUAUUUUUCCAAAAAUGUCUUAUCAAGUUAUUAAUGCAGCAGCACCUUCUAAAGUGCCCCAUUUGAUUCUCCUAAUUGAGGCAGUCAGCAUUGACCCCAAAUUUAGCAUAUUUAGUUUGUUUGUUUUUUGUAAUUUGAUAGAGCAAUUUAAAGUGCAUCGAAAAGUUAGGUUUAAUAGAGCACUUGCUUGGAGAUAUAUAACUACGACGUUUUUGUAAUCGACCUUUUUUUUUUUGAAAAUCGGCUAGAGAAUUUUGGACACUUUUUAAAGGGCAUUUUUACAAAAAUGCCUCUUCAAGUAGUUAAUAAGACACUUUUAAGUGUCGCAAAACAAUUUCAUAGUCAAUUUUUCAUAAUUUUUAGAGGAAGCAAAUCCUUGCUAAACUUAACUGAUUUUGUCGGCAAAAACAAAAAAUUCCCUCGAGCAAACACUGGAUCGAUCCUGCUCGUUUUCAUCUUCUUUUUCGAUCCCACCCUAUAGUAAUUAGAUGCCAACAAAAACAUUUGCAUAAGGAUAUAUGUUCUACACUCGAAUACUGCACCGCAUAGUUCGACACGUCCUGCUCUUUACUCAAUUUUCCGAAUCAUUCAUCUUGUAGAAUUCAACAAAUUAAAUCACCACGCAAAAGUUCAAAUCGAUCGGACACAUGCGACUACCUCAUUAAAAAACUUUUAUAUAGAAAAAAAAAGAUGAGUCUAGUUAUUUUUUGCGUGAAUAAAGUAGCUCAGUUAGUGAGGAUCAUCAGCCCCCUUAACGUAUGCGAGAGUUCGAGUCCCGGCGGGUGCUCGAACCUUGUUUGUGGACCAAAGGGAGAGAUCUUUCACCAAUUGUACAUUAGGUGGUGCCGUGGUGACGGUGAGGAUGGUAGCUAUGGCUCGAACCGGACAUUCCAUUGGCAGGUAGGGAGCCCUUAUGGUUACGCCCAAUGGGGGUUGCUACGUUGGUUGCUCCCUCUCACCCUUUUUGGAUUAUCAAAAAAAAAACUAUUCCGACAAGGCGGUUAUGGGUGUUCGAUAAACUUGAUUCUCAGAAUGAAUGAUCUACUGAUUCUACUCUAUCAUAUUUAAAAGAUAGACGGUUCCGAUCGCGAAGAAAUACCUCGGGUAGUGUUUGAGUGGUGCAUUAUUAGACUUUAUUUCCUCCAAACGUAUUAAAUGUGUUGCGACCAAGUGGCUUUCGAUAUUCGAUGAUCUCCGAUUUGUGUGACACUGAUGGAAUUGGUAAGAUGUGAAAUCCUAAUGGUUCAGAUCAAUCGUUAUAAUAAUAGACUCCUCAAUAACCUUUAGAAUAUAUAUAUAUGUUCAACUUACUUAGUAAUUAAUAGUUUUGUGCUAUAGUUGAAUGUAUGGUAGCCACACAAUCAGGACAUAAUGAUGAUGAUCAAGACCAUUGAUUUUAUUGUGCUUGUUGAUCACAUCAUUCACGUAAAAUUUUAGCUCUAUCCGGUUUAGAAAACCCUACUUUAUAAUAAACUAAAUCUUGUGUUGUAAUUAAAUGUACAGUAGCUACACGAGUGCGACACAAUCAUGACGAUCAAGACCAUUGAUUUUGUUCUACUUAUUCAUUAGAUCAUUCACGUGAAUUUUUUGCUCGAUCGGGUUAAGAAAUUAAGCCACUUCAUUUUGACGCAAAUUCAUUAACAAAAUGGUAUUUUCCUCACAAUAGGCUGUUUGUGUUGUAGUGUAAUUAUUUUUCUUCAAGCGCCAAGAGUAGUGAAAAUUUUGAACACGUAAAAUUGUACGCGCUAUCAUUCCCCCCCUCACAACUUUUCCAAUUUUUUCCUUGAACUUCCAUUCCGUUCUCGCCCUAGCAAACCAUCUCCAAUUAUUUUUGAAGCAGCCAUUCUUUCCCUAAAUUCCUCCUCCCAUCUCUCGCCUCUUCACCACCAAAGCCUUUUUCAACCAUGGCCUCUACCGCUUCUAUCUCGGCCCAGCCCGCACCGUGGCCUAUCCCUCCGUAUCCUACAGUAAAUUUAUCUCUCUCUCUUUCUCUCUCUCUCUCUCUCUCUCAUACACACAAGCACUGACUACCGAGAACGGUGCCAUCAAAACUCGUCGGUGCUGCUCUCUAUCUCUGUCUCUGUCUGUGCUGAACCCUAACCAAAUUGGUCUUCACUGAGGAUAUUUGUACCAGUUUCAAGAAUCUUUAUUCUCGUUAUUGGAGGAAUUGCAUCUGUUUACUUGCUAAUUAUCAUCCCUUCGCUGGAGAUUGUUGUCCUUUAAAUUGUGGUUCUCGUCCUACGCCGAUCAAAAGACUUCAUUGGAAAGACCUCGCCACUCUUGUCUUCUUUUGUUGGGUCAUGGCCCCAACAACUCGUAAUACUGGACGAGUCCAUGUGCAGUCUAAUUCCUAUCAGCCACACCAAGUAACUAUGGAUGAUGUGGCCAUCAUUCAGCCCCUUAACUAACCAGGUACAUGAUAAAUUCACAAGUGCAUUUCUUUUGGUAUUUUGUUGUAUGAUUUUGCUUUUGCUCUUGCUAAGCUAUAAAACUUAUUUGUAUUGUGCCUUGGUUGUUGAUUGAGUGUGCUUUGCCGAUAUCUAAUGGUCCUUGUUUAUCUUUAAUAAGGACCAUAUGUUUGCAUUGGUAAUGGUAAGUUUGAUAAUUAUAAGGUCAUUUACUCAGAAGCAUAUGGUAAGAGAUGUCUUUAUAAGUGAUAUGCCAUCACCCACAGUCCCACACUUUGAAUUUAGAGUGCAUUACAUCCUGAAAAUUUUGGGCUUGUAAGCUUGCUAAAUACAACAUGAUCUUGAAAAUAUUGUGGAUUUGAAUCAAAAAUUUAAUUUAUCUCCUUGUCACAAGAGGUUAAGGAUACUAAUUAUGCCCAAGGAUACUAGUUUAUUGGUUCUCCCUUAGCACUACUAUUUCUAGUGUAGGCUGUGAAUUAUGGGUUUAUUGUUGACUCUCUUAUGGACACUAAUGCUAUGUUUUUUAGAGCUGCUAUUUGUUCUUAGGAGUUCUCAUGCUGUUUUAUGCCUACGGUUUGUGGGCUCUUGGUUAUGGCUUUAUGAAUUAGGCUAUUGUCUUAUGGACUUAGCUGCUUUUAUUUGAGAUUAUAUGUGGAUGUUUGGCUAUUGCUAUCAAUUUUUGGUUCCUUGUGCUAAUUACUGGCCAUUGAUCUUGGUUGCUUUAUGGACAAUUUCAAUGCUGGCAUAGUUUCUUUUGGGAGGUUCUUCAAGUUAUCUUCUUAUGGCUAUCAAUAUUUAGCUGGCACAUGCAACUUGAUAUUGCAUUCUAAUAAACUAAUAGUGUCAAUUCCAUAUGAAUACGCUAGCUAAAAUGGAUAGUGCCGUAGGCAUGGAUAAUUUGCUAGUAUGAAUUUGAUAUUGUAGAAUUUCAAUAUGAUUUUUUCUGGGAUUAUGUAUAUUUCAAGAGCGUAACUACAAAGGUUGGUGGAGAAGAACUUGGAGCAAAUUGGUGUGAGAUUCAUGUUCAAGUCCCAAUCCUGUGAGCAUACAGAGGCGUUAAGACCAUUGGCGAUGUCAUCGGUACUCCAAUAGCAUGACCUAUUUCUUUGGUAGUGAAAGAUGAUGAUGGAUGCUUUAUUGACUGAAUGCGAUCACUUGGAAGAUGCCUAGUAGAUAGAGUUAUGUCAUAUGGAUAUUGAACUUAUGGGUUUUGUUUUGUUUUUAUUGGUGGUUGUUUUUUGAUAUCAUGGCAUCUCUCAUGGUUUAGUUCUAGUUUUUUUACUGGAAACUUUAGUAAGUUUCUUAAAAUUGUUUCUAUUUCAUGUUUUUUUUUUUUUUUGUAUUCGGAUCCUUGUAAGUUUGUUGACUAGUAGUUUGAGUUAAUGACUAUGGCUUAUGUUGCAUGGAUAUGGUUGUGGAAAUAAUUGAAAUUUAUUAAGGUUUUAUUG